ACUUGUUUUGAGCCUGCGAUAGAAGGGGACAACACGUGCCUUGGGAAAAAACUCAUGUUCCACCCAGAUAGUUUUUCACAACAUUUCCUCUUUGCACCGGUGUCGAGACCAACUUAGUUGUGAGAAAGUCUGUAUCUUUAGAGGAGAUAGCAAUAUGACUGUAUCAUUUAUUGAUAUUCUCCUAAUUAGUGAUUAACUGACGGUUUUUAGCAGGAUUGGGCUAAAUGCUCAAAUAAAAACCUGAGGUGAAGAACUAUCAUUCCCUGCAGUAGAAGUCCAUGUGAGAGGAGAGAGCUGUAUGAUACUAGGAGGACAAGACAACAAUAAUCUCAAGGGACUCACAGCAGUUGGGCUUUUCUCCUCUCUAGAGCACCAACUGAAACAGACAGAAUGAACAGAGCACGAGGACGGUGUUUCACUUUACUACUACUACUGGGGUGUGUACAUGGGAGCAAGUCUCCUCAAAGGGAGGUGGUAUUCAGUAGAGGGAUCCAACUCUUUGUUGAAGGUUUGAACCCUUCUAAUCCCUCUGUGCUAAUCCUCUCCUCAUUUGGGCGCAACCCUGGUGCCUCACCUACACUGGUGUGUGUACUCAGUGGUUUAAAAACACGUCAUUUGGUGGACAUCAUUUGGUGGAUCAACGACACAGUGGUAACCCCUGAGAACAAUGCUAUUUGGAGUUCCAGGGGAAGCGAUGGCACGUACACAACUACCGGACUGUGGACUAUGUCUGGAAAGGACUGGAAUCCCUAUAGUAACUAUGAGUGUGGAACCAGACAUGAAGGAAAGCAUUAUAGAAAUGGUACACAGCCCUCGCUUUGCAUGGAUUUUACUUGAUUACAAAUAUUUGUUAACCUAUCAAAAAGUAUCUGUACUUUACAGCCUCCUUAGCAGUUCAUGUACAAUCUUUACUAUUAUUAAAGUAUUAAUGUCAUGAUGUUUCUUGAGUAUUUUAGUGAAAGAUUAUCUUUCUGGUUGCCAUUACCAUAUGUUGACACUAGAGGACGCUCACUGCCUGCAGUUGGAGGGGUUGUAGUGUUUGUGUUGAGUGAUGGUAAAGUUCAUAUGCAUGGCAUCUCUGUUUCACAUACUCACUGAUUUCAACUGAGACAAUGUUGCUCUUGUUCCUGGAUGUAUCUCUCAACAACAAGCUGUUAUAGAAAUGGUAUAAAAAAGCUGCACUUCUUAAUCAUACCGUAUGCACAAAGCUGAAUACUCUUUAGUUUAUGUUCCAAACAACAAUUGUGUUUCUGUCAGCCCUCCUCUAAACAUAUUUUUGCAUCAUUUAUAAGUUCAUAAUAUCAUCAAUAAAAUAUAAAAAGAAUGAACUAAUCUGCAUUGUACUUUCACAU